rnacentral:tRNA from 1 species
UAGCCUAGUGGUUAAGGCAAUGGAUCGCCAAUCCGGAGACGGCGGGUUCGAUUCUCGU